rnacentral:rRNA from 1 species
CCUCUGCUCAGAUUGAACGCUGGCGGCAGGCUUAACACAUGCAAGUCGAGCGGGGGAAGGUAGCUUGCUACCGGACCUAGCGGCGGACGGGUGAGUAAUGCUUAGGAAUCUGCCUAUUAGUGGGGGACAACAUCUCGAAAGGGAUGCUAAUACCGCAUACGUCCUACGGGAGAAAGCAGGGGAUCUUCGGACCUUGCGCUAAUAGAUGAGCCUAAGUCGGAUUAGCUAGUUGGUGGGGUAAAGGCCUACCAAGGCGACGAUCUGUAGCGGGUCUGAGAGGAUGAUCCGCCACACUGGGACUGAGACACGGCCCAGACUCCUACGGGAGGCAGCAGUGGGGAAUAUUGGACAAUGGGGGGAACCCUGAUCCAGCCAUGCCGCGUGUGUGAAGAAGGCCUUAUGGUUGUAAAGCACUUUAAGCGAGGAGGAGGCUACUUUAGUUAAUACCUAGAGAUAGUGGACGUUACUCGCAGAAUAAGCACCGGCUAACUCUGUGCCAGCAGCCGCGGUAAUACAGAGGGUGCGAGCGUUAAUCGGAUUUACUGGGCGUAAAGCGUGCGUAGGCGGCUUAUUAAGUCGGAUGUGAAAUCCCCGAGCUUAACUUGGGAAUUGCAUUCGAUACUGGUGAGCUAGAGUAUGGGAGAGGAUGGUAGAAUUCCAGGUGUAGCGGUGAAAUGCGUAGAGAUCUGGAGGAAUACCGAUGGCGAAGGCAGCCAUCUGGCCUAAUACUGACGCUGAGGUACGAAAGCAUGGGGAGCAAACAGGAUUAGAUACCCUGGUAGUCCAUGCCGUAAACGAUGUCUACUAGCCGUUGGGGCCUUUGAGGCUUUAGUGGCGCAGCUAACGCGAUAAGUAGACCGCCUGGAGACGACCUU